rnacentral:tRNA from 1 species
GGCAUGGUGGCUCAGUGGUUUGAGCGCCCGCCUCAUGAACGGGAGGUCGUGGGUUCAAACCCCGGCCGAGUCA